rnacentral:rRNA from 1 species
AAUAGAUACCCGGGUAGUCCACGCCGUAAACGAUGAGUGCUAAGUGUUAGAGGGUUUCCGCCCUUUAGUGCUGCAGCUAACGCAUUAAGCACUCCGCCUGGGGAGUACGGCCGCAAGGCUGAAACUCAAAGGAAUUGACGGGGGCCCGCACAAGCGGUGGAGCAUGUGGUUUAAUUCGAAGCAACGCGAAGAACCUUACCAGGUCUUAACAUCCUCUGCCAACCCUAGAGAUAGGGCGUUCCCCUUCGGGGGACAGAGUGACAGGUGGUGCAUGGUUGUCGUCAGCUCGUGUCGUGAGAUGUUGGGUUAAGUCCCGCAACGAGCGCAACCCUUGAUCUUAGUUGCCAGCAUUCAGUUGGGCACUCUAAGGUGACUGCCGGUGACAAACCGGAGGAAGGUGGGGAUGACGUCAAAUCAUCAUGCCCCUUAUGACCUGGGCUACACACGUGCUACAAUGGAUGGUACAAAGAGCUGCGAACCCGCGAGGGUAAGCGAAUCUCAUAAAGCCAUUCUCAGUUCGGA